rnacentral:rRNA from 1 species
UACGUAGGGUGCAAGCGUUAUUCGGAAUUACUGGGCGUAAAGCGUGCGCAGGCGGUUUUGUAAGUCUGACGUGAAAUCCCCGGGCUCAACCUGGGAAUUGCGUUGGAGACUGCAAGGCUAGAAUCUGGCAGAGGGGGGUAGAAUUCCACGUGUAGCAGUGAAAUGCGUAGAGAUGUGGAGGAACACCGAUGGCGAAGGCAGCCCCCUGGGUCAAGAUUGACGCUCAUGCACGAAAGCGUGGGGAGCAAACAGG